UUCAUAACUCUGUACUUGUGCAGUGUUGUAGUUGUAUUAUUUGAUUCUCAAAAACUCUCCAAUAAGAGAUAUAGUUUCCAUAACUUUUCUUUAAAUUCUGAGCUGUAUAUCAAAGCCUGUUAGAGACUUCUGGAGAAAAAGAAUGUUUCCUGAAGGAAGACAAAUACCGUGAGUUACCAAAUUUGUUCAUUUCAGAUGCCUUUGUUCAAGUGACAGCUCAAAAGGACAACAGGCUAAAUGACUCAGAAGCAUGAGAAGAAUUUGGGGAUAUGACCAAUGUGAAUGAAAACCUAAUGGUCGGCAAACAGCUGUAUGGAAUUGGGUUUUUAAUGUACUGCAUCAGUGACUAAGAACAAGAACACAGAUACCUUUGGGGAUCCUUGGUAGGCAAACCAUUAGUCUAGUCCUGCAGUCCUAUAUGAUUUUCUAUGCAUAAUUGCAGAUAACUAGAUUUUUCUAAAGGUUAAUAACAAUUGUAGGGUGUUAACGAUACAUUGAAACUUCUCAUUCUUUACUGCUGCCUAUUAAAUUGCAGCAGUGUUUCACUUUCCCCAUUAGUGUAGUAAAUAAUACAUAUUCUGGAAGAGUUCUUUAAAGGUGGUGAUUAAAUAGAAGGAAAGGAAGGUCAAAAAAUAACUGACGUUUUCUCUAGUGAUUCAGUUAUCAGAUAGUGAUAUUGGAGGACAAAGUGCUUCCUAGUGGUGAAUGAUUAUUGUCUGCAUGACACUAAAAAAUAAAUGCAGAGAAAUUCAAAGGUGACUGAGAAUUUUGGACAGCCAAUUUUCUGAAAAAUUACUGGGACUUACAUGGAGGUAGAUUUGAAAACCUCCACCACAGAGUUUAUUGUCCAAGUGGCUCCUCAGGAGGUUUGUGGUAAGAAACAGAAGGAAAUUGUAAAGAGAAGAUCUGAGGGAGGAAUUACUAAUAAUGCCUUGUAGAGAUGGUGGAAAACAGUCAUCGAAGUUCCAGCUACUGAAAGGACAGAUUGUUUAGUGUGACACUCUGUAGAAGAGAUUCCUGCUCUGAAUUCAGUACUGUGAUGCACAGCUUCCUGACAGACCAUCGCGUCAGUGGUGAGAGACUGCACCACAGCCUUCGAGGAGCUGCCUGGCGGAUGGCCACCCUCCCUCUGGAAAACAGCAUUUUAUUUAUAGUUUGAAUUUAUCUAAUUUCAGUUUCCAGUCACCAGAUCUUGUCAUGCUUCAUUCAUUCAGUAGAAGCGCUCUUGUAACAAGGCAAGGAAUAAAGGAAACAACAAUGUCCUCCUUCCAAAGCUUUCUGCAGGCACUCAGCACAAGUGCUGCUCCUCUGGCUCUGAGCCCUCUGGGAUGGAUCCUACUGUCCUUCCCUCCACUCCCGGCAUUUAUGGUCCCUCUUGUCCAUGACCGUUGUCUCUGCAGUAGGUUCAGUGCAGGUGCUGGUCUUCUGCUCUCACAGAGCUGGCUAAUCAGGCACUUCAGGCAAAGGGCUGCUAUUUAGGACAAAAGCUUUAAACAAAAAGACUAUAUAUUUCUGUCUGGUUAAUCCUCAGUUUCAGGGCUAUUUCCCCUCUCCUAGUGCAGGCGGGUCUCUCACUGCCAUUAUCAGGGCUUUGACAGGAAAUUUUCAUGAGCCCAUUCCAACCACGCAAUGCAAAUAUAGGACUGCCAUUCCUCAGGGAUGUUUUUUCCAACUAGCUCUUUGCAUUACCUUGGAGUUAGUUGAUUUCAUGCAGAAAACUUCUUUAACUCCUCCAUGGUGACAGGAUCCUAUCUGUCCACUGGAACUGGUUAUUCCUUGGGUUUCUUCCAUUUGGCAUGCCCAUUACCAAAGCUUUUACCCAUGUGGUUUUCCCAUUCUCUUUGUUUCCUUCUCAUUGGUAUGAAACGAAUCAGAAAAGGAUGUGCUCUACCCAUGAGUAUUUCAUGUAGCUUAAAAGGACAGUAAGAACUACCUUUAUCCCAAAAGAAAUACACAGAUAAAUCAAUACUUACAGUGGGAAUGAGGUGGAGAAAGCAAUGACUUGCCUGAAUGGUAAUGAAGACAUAGUGAACAGGAUGCUUUGGGCAAACACCAGAUUCAAAAUGUGAGUUUGUACCACCCUAGAAUAAAGUACAAAACUAUAUCCAGGUAAGGGGAUUAAAUCAUACAUAGCCCUCAAAAACAAUCAUUGUUCAUAGCACCAAUUAGCUCUCCAGGAAUAUGAGGAACUCACUGAUUUACCUCUGAUGUCAAAUUGCCCAUGAAGUUACCGCAUGUGUUUGCUUAAAAGUAUCCCGAACUAAGGUGACAAAAUCUCCCUUAUAUAAAUUCCAUGUGACUCUCCAGGGAGAAGAGAGAAUUUAGAUGUAUGAACUUCAUAACGCUGCACUGAUUUCCUCCCAAAACAUUGUCACACUACCUUUCUUUUUCAUAAUAACUUGAUCUUUAAUGCUCUGGGCUCCUCCUCUACUGCAGGAGGUUGACAGCACAGCACACAGAAGGCAAACUGGUUGCACCUAUGGUGAGUUUGCUCAGCUAGAAAGGAGUAAACAUGAAGCAUUCUGUUCUGAGGACUAUGACUUCCUCUUUGCUAGUAAUGCACAAGCAUUUGCUAGAAAAUAAGAUCUUAGAUCUCGGACCAUCUUUAUCUUGGAUGACUGUCUUCAUUUGAAGAUGACAUUUGCCACUGACUUUGCUUUGGAGGGCUUCCUUGGCUCUGUAGCAGCAUUGAAAAGCCUGACUUUC